rnacentral:rRNA from 1 species
UCCUACGGGAGGCAGCAGUGGGGAAUCUUAGACAAUGGGGGCAACCCUGAUCCAGCCAUGCCGCGUGAGUGAUGAAGGCCCUAGGGUCGUAAAGCUCUUUCGCCUGUGAAGAUAAUGACUGUAGCAGGUAAAGAAACCCCGGCUAACUCCGUGCCAGCAGCCGCGGUAAUACGGAGGGGGUUAGCGUUGUUCGGAAUUACUGGGCGUAAAGCGCACGUAGGCGGACUAUUAAGUCAGAGGUGAAAUCCCGGGGCUCAACCCCGGAACUGCCUUUGAUACUGGUAGUCUUGAGUUCGAGAGAGGUGAGUGGAAUUCCGAGUGUAGAGGUGAAAUUCGUAGAUAUUCGGAGGAACACCAGUGGCGAAGGCGGCUCACUGGCUCGAUACUGACGCUGAGGUGCGAAAGUGUGGGGAGCAAACAGGAUUAGAUACCCUGGUAGUCCACACCGUAAACGAUGAAUGCCAGACGUCGGGCAGUAUACUGUUCGGUGUCACACCUAACGGAUUAAGCAUUCCGCCUGGGGAGUACGGUCGCAAGAUUAAAACUCAAAUGAAUUGACGGA